rnacentral:rRNA from 1 species
UACGUAGGGCAGCGAGCGUUGUUCGGAAUUACUGGGCGGUAAAGAGUGUGUAGGCGGUGCUCUAAGUUCGGUGUGAAAGUCCUCCUGGCUUCAACUGGGAGGGUGCGCCGGAAACUGGAGUGCUUGAGCGUGGGAGAGGAAAGCGGAAUUCCUGGAUGUAGCGGUGAAAUGCGUAGAUAUCGAGGAGGAACACCUGUGGUGUAGACGGCUUUCUGGACCAUAGCUGACGCUGAGACACGAAAGCGUGGGUAGCAAACAGG